GGUUUAAUUCAAGCUCUUAUCAGGUAAGAGUUUGAAAUUAACUGAACUCUAUCCCAUCCCUUGGUCGCCAUCUAUAAAAGGGUGGGUGUUUGGGCGUGGUAAAGAACAACAUCAAGCAAAUCAACCUAGGGUUCCACCAUGUGCCGCCCCUCUUCCUUCCACCAUCCACACGCCCAAAGGCCCUCUUUUGGUCAGCCACAUAGAGAAAGAAUUCAGAGAGAGGGAGAUCAAUAAAGGAGAGGGAAAAAAAAAGAGGUGUUCUCCAGCAUCUCUUUGCAUCCUCCAGUGCUACAUGAC
rnacentral:lncRNA from 1 species